UACAGAGGUCUCAAGCGUUUGUUCGGGAUUCAUUGGGCGUAAAGGGUGCGUAGGCGGCGCGGUAAGUCGGGUGUGAAAUCUCGGGGCUUAACUCCGAAACUGCAUUCGAUACUGCCGUGCUUGAGGACUGGAGAGGAGACUGGAAUUUACGGUGUAGCGGUGAAAUGCGUAGAUAUCGUAAGGAAGACCAGUGGCGAAGGCGGGUCUCUGGACAGUUCCUGACGCUGAGGCACGAAGGCCCAGGGGGAGCAAAACGGGGA
rnacentral:rRNA from 1 species